GGACCAGACUCCUACGGGAGGCAGCAGUGAGGGAUAUUGGUCAAUGGGGGAAACCCUGAACCAGCAACGCCGCGUGAGGGAAGACGGUUUUCGGAUUGUAAACCUCUGUCCUCUGUGAAGAUAAUGACGGUAGCAGAGGAGGAAGCUCCGGCUAACUACGUGCCAGCAGCCGCGGUAAUACGUAGGGGGCAAGCGUUAUCCGGAUUUACUGGGUGUAAAGGGAGCGUAGACGGCAAGGCAAGUCUGGAGUGAAAGCCCGUGGCCCAACCACGGGACUGCUUUGGAAACUGUGUUGCUGGAGUGCAGGAGGGGUAAGCGGAAUUCCUAGUGUAGCGGUGAAAUGCGUAGAUAUUAGGAGGAACACCGGUGGCGAAGGCGGCUUACUGGACUGUAACUGACGUUGAGGCUCGAAGGCGUGGGGAGCAAACAGGAUUAGAUCCCCCCGUA
rnacentral:rRNA from 1 species